UUCCUACGGGAGGCAGCAGUGGGGAAUUUUGGACAAUGGGCGAAAGCCUGAUCCAGCAAUGCCGCGUGUGUGAAGAAGGCCUUCGGGUUGUAAAGCACUUUUGUCCGGAAAGAAAUCCUUGGCUCUAAUACAGUCGGGGGAUGACGGUACCGGAAGAAUAAGCACCGGCUAACUACGUGCCAGCAGCCGCGGUAAUACGUAGGGUGCGAGCGUUAAUCGGAAUUACUGGGCGUAAAGCGUGCGCAGGCGGUUUGCUAAGACCGAUGUGAAAUCCCCGGGCUCAACCUGGGAACUGCAUUGGUGACUGGCAGGCUAGAGUAUGGCAGAGGGGGGUAGAAUUCCACGUGUAGCAGUGAAAUGCGUAGAGAUGUGGAGGAAUACCGAUGGCGAAGGCAGCCCCCUGGGCCAAUACUGACGCUCAUGCA
rnacentral:rRNA from 1 species